UGUUAGCCAGGAUGAUCUCGAUCUCCUGACCUCGUGAUCCGCCCGCCUGGGCCUCCCAAAGUGCUGGGAUUACAGGUGUGAGCCACUGCACCCGUCCCAUAGUUGUCUUUUACAUUGUAUUCUGUUUUACCAAAAAAGUGCCCCCAUAGCUUACCAUGCAGGGAACUCUGAUGCUUCCCUUUCCAUUUGAAAGUCAUAAAUACAUACUUCUAGAUUCACUCCAUCAGCCAUCAAAGAGCCUAUCCAAAAUUAUUUUUUUCUAGCCAAUUCAGAGACUUCUACAUUCAUUUUCUCAUUUGUCCAUUUACUCAUUCUGUGAUAGAAAAGCAGAAAUGUGGUUUGUAAAAUCCCAGCCCCAGCAUCAUAUAGAAUGCAUUUGGAGCUGAGGGACAACACUUGGGUGAAUUGCUUCCCCUCUCUGAGUCUGUUUCCUCUUUUAUAAAAAGUUGGAUGUUCAAUUAAGCAUUAUAUACAACAGCAAAAGAAAAAAUGAAAAUGACUUUAAGCAACCUAACUGGUAAAAAUAAUUAUAGUCAAACUAUAUCAUAGAAUAUAGCAUAUUUGUUAAGAAUGAUUUGGAUGAAGAUGAUGUGGGAAAUGUUUUAAAUUAUAUGGUGUUAAUAUAAUAAAAUUAUAAUAAAACAAGUUAUAAACAGGUAAAUAUAACAUAGGAUCCCAGUUUUGUUUAAAAAUAUACAUAAUAUCCUUUGAAAAAAGACUAAAAAGAUAUAUGACCAAAUGUUUACAACUGAUAUGUUUUCUAGGUAGGAUUAUAGGUGAUUUCUAGUUUUUUCUUUAUUUUCCAAUUUUUCUAAAAUUAAUAUAUCUUAGGUUUGUUUCAAGUAAAAAGCUUUUAAAAUUUUUUAAAUUAAAGGGGUAGGCUUAUCACCAAAGUCUCUUGCAGCCAGAACAUUCUGUGACUCAUUGAUUUAUUCAGAUGUAUGUAUUGAGCACCUACUGUAUACCAGCCACUCUGCCAGGUACUGGGGAGAAGUUAAAGAUGAUUAAGAUAUUAUACCAUGCAGCUUACAGUCUAGAGGGGAAUCGAACACAUCUCAUUCAUUUUUAAAGCCCCAGUAUUUGGCUCAGUGCCCCAAACACAGCAGUUGCCCAUUUGAUGUUUGUCGAACAAAUGUUUAUUAUAAUCACCUAUCUGAAAAUCAAAGCAGAAUAUCUACCUGAGACAAGGAGAUACAAGGGGUAUAUAUGGGGGUGCCGUGGAGGUAACCAGAGGGAAUAAGGGCUGCAAGGGGAGGGGCAUGUAGACCAGAAUGUGAGAUGUAAGUGGAAGGUCCAACUUGCCUGUGUGUGUUGGGUGUAGACAGGAAUGGAGAGACCCACCCCCUUGCUAGGAUGUUCUUCGAUGGUCCCCAAGAACACCUAAGGUGAUCAGAGGUUCCCUGCAUUCCUAGGGGAGGUCAAGGAACCAGGUCCCUCCCUCUGCAGGUAAUCCCUCAAGCCAGCAUCCUUCACUUGCACGAAGGAAAUGCAUGUCUCCUGAUAUAUUUCCAUCUGAGUGAGAGGCAAAUGGACAAAAGCAGGUUGGCCGCUGCGCAGAAGAUUCCCACAUCUAAGCCACGGACCCUCCUUUGCCCCAGCUCCUCUGUGUGGUGCCUGGUGAGGCUUCAGGUGGCUGCCCAGUUCCACAUGGCUAGGGAGGCCUCACAUCAUGGUAGAAGGCAAGGAGGAGCAAGUCUCAUCAUAUGUGGAUGGCAGCAGGCAAAGAGCUUGUGCAGAAAAACUCCCAUUUUGAAAACCAUCAGACCUUGUGAGACUCAUUCACUAUCACAAGAACAGCCUAGGGAAGACCCGCCCCAUAAUUCAAUCACCUCCCACCAGGUUUCUACCAUUACACGUGGAAAUUGUGGGAGUUACUAUUCA
rnacentral:lncRNA from 1 species